AGCCAGUUUGUCAGAAGCGCA
rnacentral:siRNA from 1 species